AGAGUUUGAUCAUGGCUCAGGAUGAACGCUGGCGGCGUGCCUAACACAUGCAAGUCGAACGGAGUUAUUUUGGAAAUCUCUUCGGAGAUGGAAUCUUUAACUUAGUGGCGGACGGGUGAGUAACGCGUGAGCAAUCUGCCUUUAAGAGGGGGAUAACAGUCGGAAACGGCUGCUAAUACCGCAUAAAGCAUCAAAUUCGCAUGUUUUGAUGCCAAAGGAGCAAUCCGCUUUUAGAUGAGCUCGCGUCUGAUUAGCUAGUUGGCGGGGUAACGGCCACCAAGGCGACGAUCAGUAGCCGGACUGAGAGGUUGAACGGCCACAUUGGGACUGAGACACGGCCCAGACUCCGUACGGGAGGCA
rnacentral:rRNA from 1 species